rnacentral:rRNA from 1 species
AUUGGGUAGGGGAGCGUUCUGUAAGCCGUUGAAGGUGUGUUGUAAAGCAUGCUGGAGGUAUCAGAAGUGCGAAUGCUGACAUGAGUAACGAUAAAGGGGGUGAAAAACCUCCUCGCCGGAAGACCAAGGGUUCCUGUCCAACGUUAAUCGGGGCAGGGUGAGUCGACCCCUAAGGCGAGGCCGAAAGGCGUAGUCGAUGGGAAACGGGUUAAUAUUCCCGUACUUCUUACAAUUGCGAUGGGGGGACGGAGAAGGCUAGGUGGGCCUGGCGACGGUUGUCCAGGUUCAAGUGCGUAGGCUUGAGAGUUAGGUAAAUCCGGCUCUCUUUAAGGCUGAGACACGAUGUCGAGCUACUACGGUAGUGAAGUCAUUGAUGCCAUGCUUCCAGGAAAAGCCUCUAAGCUUCAGAUUGUAAGGAAUCGUACCCCAAACCGACACAGGUGGUCGGGUAGAGAAUACCAAGGCGCUUGAGAGAACUCGGGUGAAGGAACUAGGCAAAAUGGUACCGUAACUUCGGGAGAAGGUACGCUCUUGACGGUGAAGUCCCUUGCGGAUGGAGCUGAUGAGAGUCGCAGAUACCAGGUGGCUGCAACUGUUUAUUAAAAACACAGCACUGUGCAAAAUCGUAAGAUGACGUAUACGGUGUGACGCCUGCCCGGUGCCGGAAGGUUAAUUGAUGGGGUUAGACUUCGGUCGAAGCUCUUGAUCGAAGCCCCGGUAAACGGCGGCCGUAACUAUAACGGUCCUAAGGUAGCGAAAUUCCUUGUCGGGUAAGUUCCGACCUGCACGAAUGGCGUAAUGAUGGCCACGCUGUCUCCACCCGAGACUCAGUGAAAUUGAAAUCGCUGUGAAGAUGCAGUGUACCCGCGGCUAGACGGAAAGACCCCGUGAACCUUUACUACAGCUUGGCACUGAACAUUGAACCUACAUGUGUAGGAUAGGUGGGAGGCUUUGAAGCGCAGACGCUAGUUUGUGUGGAGCCGUCCUUGAAAUACCACCCUUGUAUGUUUGAUGUUCUAACUCAGACCCGUUAUCCGGGUCGAGGACAGUGCCUGGUGGGUAGUUUGACUGGGGCGGUCUCCUCCCAAAGAGUAACGGAGGAGCACGAAGGUGGGCUAAACACGGUUGGACAUCGUGUGGUUAGUGCAAUGGCAUAAGCCCGCUUGACUGCGAGAAUGACAAUUCGAGCAGGUGCGAAAGCAGGUCAUAGUGAUCCGGUGGUUCUGAAUGGAAGGGCCAUCGCUCAACGGAUAAAAGGUACUCCGGGGAUAACAGGCUGAUACCGCCCAAGAGUUCAUAUCGACGGCGGUGUUUGGCACCUCGAUGUCGGCUCAUCACAUCCUGGGGCUGAAGUCGGUCCCAAGGGUAUGGCUGUUCGCCAUUUAAAGUGGUACGCGAGCUGGGUUUAGAACGUCGUGAGACAGUUCGGUCCCUAUCUGCCGUGGGCGUUGGAGAAUUGAAGGGGGCUGCUCCUAGUACGAGAGGACCGGAGUGGACGAACCUCUGGUGUUCGGGUUGUUACGCCAGUAGCAUUGCCCGGUAGCUAAGUUCGGAAUUGAUAACCGCUGAAAGCAUCUAAGCGGGAAGCAAGCCCUGAGAUGAGUUCUCCCUGGC